rnacentral:rRNA from 1 species
AUGUUGUAUGGCGCUGAGUGUUGGCCGACUAAAAGGCGACAUGUUCAACAGUUAGGUGUGGCGGAGAUGCGUAUGUUGAGAUGGAUGUGUGGCCACACGAGGAAGGAUCGAGUCCGGAAUGAUGAUAUACGAGAUAGAGUUGGGGUAGCACCAAUUGAAGAGAAGCUUGUCCAACAUCGUCUGAGAUGGUUUGGGCAUAUUCAGCGCACGCCUCCGAAAACUCCAGUGCAUAACGGACGGCUAAAGCGUGCGGAGAAUGUCAAGAGAGGGCGGGGUAGACCGAAUUUGACAUGGGAGGAGUCCAUUAAGAGAGACCUGAGGGUUUGGAGUAUUACGAAAGAACUAGCUAUGGACAGGGGUGCGUGGAAGCUUGUUAUCCAUGUGCCAGAGCCAUGA